rnacentral:rRNA from 1 species
CCUACGGGAGGCAGCAGUGGGGAAUAUUGGACAAUGGGCGAAAGCCUGAUCCAGCCAUGCCGCGUGUGUGAAGAAGGCCUUCGGGUUGUAAAGCACUUUCAGUGGGGAAGAAAGCCUUGGGGCUAAUACCCUCGAGGAAGGACAUCACCAACAGAAGAAGCACCGGCUAACUCCGUGCCAGCAGCCGCGGUAAUACGGAGGGUGCGAGCGUUAAUCGGAAUUACUGGGCGUAAAGCGCGCGUAGGCGGUCUGAUAAGCCGGUUGUGAAAGCCCCGGGCUCAACCUGGGAACGGCAUCCGGAACUGGCAGGCUAGAGUGCAGGAGAGGAAGGUAGAAUUCCCGGUGUAGCGGUGAAAUGCGUAGAGAUCGGGAGGAAUACCAGUGGCGAAGGCGGCCUUCUGGACUGACACUGACGCUGAGGUGCGAAAGCGUGGGUAGCAAACAGGAUUAGAUACCCGAGUAGUC